rnacentral:tRNA from 1 species
CAGAAGUUAGUUAAUUCAUAACAUAUAUUUGUCAUAUUUAAAUUGCCUUUUCGGCACUUCUUA